rnacentral:misc_RNA from 1 species
GAUGAAGAACGUAGCGAAAUGCGAUAAGUAAUGUGAAUUGCAGAAUUCAGUGAAUCAUCGAAUCUUUGAACGCUCAUUGCGCCCGUCAGUAUUCUGGCGGGCAUGCCUGUUCGAGCGUCAUUACGCCCCUCAAGUCCCCUGUGGACUUGGUGUUGGGGAUCGGCGAGGCUGGUUUUCCAGCACAGCCGUCCCUUAAAUUAAUUGGCGGUCUCGCCGUGGCCCUCCUCUGCGCAGUAGUAAAACACUCGCAACAGGAGCCCGGCGCGGUCCACUGCCGUAAAACCCCCCAACUUUUUAUAGUUGACCUCGAAUCAGGUAGGACUACCCGCUGAACUUAAGCAUAUCAAUAAGCGGAGGA